rnacentral:lncRNA from 1 species
UCUUUUCAAAAAAAAAAAAAUCCCAGGGUUUUGAUAAAAGGCAAGGGCAAUGCCAGUAAAUUCCCUCGACUUAACCUUUAUAAAGGAGUGAGUGAGUGAGUGAGGGAGCGAGCGAGCGAGCUGAGCCACGGGACCACGCUCUCAUAUCUCAAUCAACAGUGAGAAACGAUGGACAAUUCCAUCAUUUGGUGCUCGAAACAGGUGGGUGGAGGAGGCGGAGGAGGAGGGGGCGGCGCGUCGGUCGUUGGUGGGGGAAGUGGAGGGUGGGGAUGUUAUCCUCCCCCACCCAAGUGGAGGAAACUUAUGAGAAAGUUGAAGAAAGAGAGCAAGAGGCUCUGCUGGAGUAGCAAUAGCAGAGGACCAGCUUUUGAUUGCUACUAUGAUCCACUCAGUUAUGCUCAAAACUUUGACAGGGCCUCCUCUUCUUCCGAUUCCUCUUCCGGCCAUCUGUAUGCGUUCUCGGCUCGGUUCGCUGUUGCUCGGCCUCCGCCUCCUCCACAGAUUGCUACAAGUUAGGGGACAGGACUCUCUCUCUCUCUCUCUCUCUCUCUAAAGUAGGAUCCAUUUUUCUCCACCCCCACAAGAAGCCUACCUCAAAACUCUCCCUGUACACACUUGAAAGUUGAAUCUACUAUCCUCUCUUAUUUUCUUUUUUUUGUAAGAGGAAGAGGAGCUUCUUUCUUUCUUUCUCAAGAGUUUCUCUCUCUAGAGUUUUUUUUCUAGGUCCUUUCUUGUUCCUUUCCUGAGUAAUUUCUCUCUUUUUGGCUCUUUUUCAUCUUGGGUUUUUUCAUCUCUGAGAACAUGUUCUUGUCUUUCUCUCUCUACUGGGUUCUCUUUUCUACUCUUUUGAUUUGCCUUUUUUACUUUUUUGGGAUAUGUUACUGUGUAUUGAAGGAAGGAAUUCCUUGAAAUUUUGACAGCCUCUGUAAAUUAUCAUCUUUUUAGUGUUAUUUUCGUUAUUAUUCCCUUCUUUUGUAAUUUACUUUUUCUUUCUUUUAGCAAAUGAAUGAAUGGAUGUGAGAAGUUUACCUUGCGUUUGUUAGCGCAACAUUCUUUGGUUUCUGUUGAAGGAAUCGAGGCAGCGUGAGGUCUAAAGAUAAUUUCGGUUGCAUCCCUACCUGCUUAUUAGCUGGGAAAGAUUAUAUGGAUACCCCUUAAAAUGCACUUACAUUUUACCCCCACCCCACCUCUCCAUAUUAUUAAUAUCACAUCCAUAGCUUAUUGUUUUUUUUUUUGUUUUUAUCCUAGUGAAAAAAAAAUUAUUAUUUUAAAUACUAAAUUAUCUUUCUCCUCUUUUACCCUACCUAUUAAAACUCUUUCACUCUACUUACCUGAUAUAUGUCUCACUGUUUCUUUGCCCACUAUCACUCUCUCUCUUCCUCUCUCGUUAAAAACAUGCGGUUAGGCACAAAAGUGUGUCGGAUUAGCUUUUGAUUUUUGGAAAUCCAAAAGCCUUGUGAUCGGUCUGGCACACUUUCAUACCAAAUCGAAGAAAAAAUAAAAAAAAAGCAAUCGGUCACAAAAGUGUGCCGAACCAGCUUUUGUGAUGAACCAGACUUCUGGAAAACCAAAAGCCCUAUGACCGAUGCGGCACACUUUUGUGAUGGACCGAAACAAAAAAAAUUAUAGUAAUCAAUUACAAAAAUGUGUCGGACCGGCUUUUGGCUUAUGGAAUUCCAAAAGUAUCAUGGCCAUACUUUUGUACCAGACCGAAUUAGUUUUGCUUCGGUGUGCCAAACCGACCACGAGGCAUCUGGAAUUUCAAAAGCUAAUCCAACACACUCUUGUGUCAGACCGUUUUUUUUUUUUACUUUGAUACCGGUUACAAGGCUUCUGGAUUUCCAGCAUCCAGUCUGACACCGUAUUUUUUCACUAUGAGAGAAAGAGAGAGAGAUUGGGUGGAGAGAGAGACUGAUACUAUGCGGAGAGAGAUAGAGAGAGAAUGACAUUGCAUAGAGAGAGAUUAAGAUUGAAUGGAGAGAGAGAUUGAUAUCGGACAGGUAGAGAGAGUUUUAACAUGUAGGACAAGAGAGAAGAAAAGUAGUUUAGUAUUUACAACAUUAACUUUUUUACUAUGAUAAAAAUAAGAGUAAUUUGAUUAUGAGUAGGAUACCAAAAAUAUUGAGAGAUGGAAUGUUACAACUGGGGUCCUAUUAGUUAAACCCUGCUUGAUACUUAGGUACAUGGCUCCAAUUAAGUGGUCC